UACGGAGGGGACUAGCGUUGUUCGGAAUUACUGGCGUAAAGCGCACGUAGGCGGAUUUGUAAGUCAGGGGUGAAAUCCCGGGGCUCAACCUCGGAACUGCCUUUGAUACUGCAAAUCUCGAGUCCGGAAGAGGUGAGUGGAAAUUCCUAGUGUAGAGGUGAAAAUUCGUAGAUAUUAGGAAAGAACACCAAGUGGCGAAGGGCGGCUAC
rnacentral:rRNA from 1 species